GAAGGCGGGGUGCUGCCUGGGCGUUUGUCCUGAAUUUGUAACUCCUUCUCAGCUAGUUGUUUUAUUUGUCUCUCACAGUCUCACAGCUGGCACAGCUGUCUUCCCCAUCUGGAACUCCUGAAAUUCAGGCACUGUGUUUUGCAACAUUGCAAGGACCUGACUGCCAUGUACCCAUCAGUUAUAUUAAGGCUGUCCUCACAAGCAUGCUGUGUGUUCUUGCAUUAUUCUAAGGAGCUCAUGAAGGCUGCCCUGAGCAUCCCUGGCUUUGGGCUGGGCUUCCUGCUUUGCAGGAUUUAUACGUUGUUCAUUUAGCACAAAACACGAUGAAGCACAAAAAAAAAAAAAGUCCUGUGAGGAUUGACAUGGAGUGUGGAAAAAGAUCUAACCAAAAAGGCGUAGGUCAAAUUCUGGGCCUUGGCCGGGCCCCUUUAAUUGCUGUCAGGUACCAGUGCCAGUUGACCUACUAAGCCCCUUGCCCCUUGCACUGUGGAGGGAUAAGAGCGGUGAAGCCCAGUAAUAGUUUAACUAUGAGAUUAACUCCCUGCCAGUUCCACAACAGAGGACGAAAGGUGCUGACUCCAGGCGCUUCCACACGCCAGCCCACGCUCUCCCGCCACCCCUCACGCUGCUGGCCUGCCUUCCCCACCGCCUGAAACUGCAGCCUGACCCUCGGCAAGGACGGGAAACCUGAGCCCGCUGUGACUCUACAGACAGGUUUCUGGCAGAGCUUAUGUGGUGCUUGCUCCCUAAAGGAGGGCCAGAGGAGGAGCAAGAGCCAUCUUGCUCUCGAUGCUUUAGACACCUCUCAAUUUCCCUAUGCCUGUAAGGUCCCACUGCUCCCCACAACCACACUCCACGGUAGGAAGAGAUGCAGGGAGGGCCUGGAGAGGCCUAGGCACUCUGGUGCACGCCCUUCAUGUUCCCGAGUCCUCUGAGAAGCUUGGUCUCUCAUACCUUAAAGUCUACGGGGGUUUGGCCAUUCCUCUCAACACGUGCAGGACCAGGCCCCCAGACCAGCCCAAAGCCCCCAGACAUCAAAGAGAAUCUUUCUGCAGGCUUCAUUGUGGCAACGGAAGCCAGUUUUGCACGUGGCAAGGCAGAAGGCAGCUAAACUGCAGCUUAAUUAGGAUGACCUGCCACAAAGGUUCUGUUUAAAAGAAGAGACUAUCAAGCAUUUUACCUAAAAAUGCACAGAUUUCUACAGUGAACUCCAACCUUCCCUCCGGUAUUAUGAACCUGAUCACAGGCACAUCCUGUCCGGGCCUGAGGAGCAGACAGACAGACAGACCUGCGUCAGAAAGUGGAACUGACUGAUCUGACUCGCCCGCGCCGAGCUGAGGAUGAGUGAAACCAUGCACCGUGCAGACAGUGUGGAAAGCAAGCGGAGGUGAUAAGGAGCGGGGGUUUUCGUUGUUGUUGUUGUUCUUGAUGCCGUGUGGGAGAGGAAAACGAUAUUGGUGAGGAUUGUAAACAGCAAUAGUUGCCACCAAAUUGUGGUAAUGUACGGCCCUGAAUUUUCAGCCACCAUUGGGCACCAAGUGCCUGUCACCUAAGUGCUUGCAUUGAGGAAAGCUUGAUUUUCCAACAAGCACCCAGUGCUCCAAAAUAACCGGCAUCACCUGUGAACAUGAGCUCUGAUCCUUAUCUGCUGGCCAUGUGCUGUGAGAGCCGUUUCCACCUGAGAAGCACUUUCCUUCCAUUGCCUCACAGAGCCACGUUUCCUCUCUCAGUCAUUCACACCAGGGCUGUGUGGGGCCAAGGUAACCCAGGACAGCAGCGAAGGGGGGACAGGCAUGGGGACAACCCUUCCCAGCACGCAGAUCAUUUGCAGAUCCUUGCGGCGUGGUGGGGUUGACCAACACCUCGGUACAGGGCGUGUGUGUGCGUGUGAUGUGGUUGCGGAGCGCACGGUCACCGGUGUUCAGCUGCCUACCCGUGUUCUGCGAGUGGCCUUGCGUUAGUUUCAGGCGUAAUAACAUCAUGAUAUCAUAAUAAUAUAUCACACUGAUGACACCAGCCCAUGGAGCAAGCCACAGCGAUCUGAUCUCAUUCUGCAAACGUUGAGAUGAGCAUUACUGCUUCUCAGGACAAGUGGGUGGCAGGUAGAUGGAGCUGGCUCUGCCUACAUUGCCAGCCCUGGGUGGGAACGUGACCUCCUGGGUUAUGCUCGACUCCUCAGCUCCUGAUCUGCCUCAGCUGCGGCCGGCUGGGUUGCACCAUGCAGCGAGGUGUCCUCAAGUAAACACUCCCCUCAGAGUCAACAGGCUUGAAUGAGAGCAAAUGAGAUAAUGCCUCAGGAGAGAAACAGAAGUGAAGUUACUCUCAGUGAAGACUCAGUGUGUUACCAGUGAUUUCAAUAAAUUCCGUCAAAGGAACAGCAGAGUAACCUUUAAAAGAAAAAAGAAUAAAGUAGAAAAACAAACGAGCUGUGACCAUUUUUUUUUAAAGUGGUACCAUGGUCUUAGGUUUCACUUCCCAAAUGGGAAACAGAACAGAGAAGUGAAUCCCCUUGAAAUAAAAGUGAAGUUAAUAACGGGACGCCUUUAGCUGCUCGCCACAUCCUGUGUACGCUGAUCGCUCUGUUUAUAGCUGGCAGGAGCCCUUCUAGACACUUCUCUACCAAUUUAACUCUUUGCUGAGCCCAGCUGCACUUCAUCAGCAGCCAGGAAAAGUCCUCCCUGCCAGAGCCACGCUGCCGUCAGCACGGUCCCACACCCUCCCUGCCUGCACACGGGCACGCGGCUGCCAGCACGGCGCCGUCCCUCGCGUAGGCCAGGGUGCUCAGCCGCGGCCAUGCGCACGGGUGGCUGUGGUAACCCCUCGGCAUCCUGCUCACGUGUCCAAUGGCGCUUGUUCAUGCGCACACAUGCUCUUCAUAGGCUAGUGCUUUCUCCUGUACUGAAGAGAGAUGGAUAAUCAAGCACUGCACCAACGCGCUUGGCAAGCUGUAUGCAGGGCAGCUGUGAGGCAGACUUAUCCCACUGCACUGUCACUGCAACAGCUCUUCUUCCUGGGAUGAGCUUUGUGGCUGGGGGUUCAACUGCUUCAGGAAACGUGGCUUAAACUGGCAUAUUUGUUCACAUGCACAGCUCUUUUUAUUGGCCUGGUUUAUUCUGGACUCUGCUUUUGGUGCACUGCUGGCUCUUGCUGUUGCUUCUUGUU